rnacentral:rRNA from 1 species
AUUGAACGCUGGCGGCAGGCCUAACACAUGCAAGUCGAGCGAGCGGCGGACGGGUGAGUAAUGUCUGGGAAACUGCCUGAUGGAGGGGGAUAACUACUGGAAACGGUAGCUAAUACCGCAUCCCAUCAGAUGUGCCCAGAUGGGAUUAGCUAGUAGGUGGGGUAACGGCUCACCUAGGCGACGAUCCCUACCUGGUCUGAGAGGAUAACCAGCCACACUGGAACUGAGACCAGGGCCAGGCUCCAACGGAAGGCAGCAGUGGGGAGUAGUGGACAAUGGGCGCAAGCCUGAUGCAGCCAUGCCGCGUGUGUGAAGGAGGCCUUCGGGUUGUAAAGCACUUACAGCAGGGAGGCGUUACCCGCAGAAGAAGCACGAGCAAACUCCGUGCCGGAAGCCGCGGUAAUAC